rnacentral:rRNA from 1 species
AGCGAACGCUGGCGGCGUACUUAACACAUGCAAGUCGAACGAGGAUCAUCGGUGUAGCAAUACAUCGGUGGUCCUAGUGGCGCACGGGUGAGUAACACGUGGGUAACCUGCCCUUGAGCUCGGGAUACCCCCUCGAAAGGGGGGCUAAUACCGGAUACGUUCCUCGGAUCGACAGGUCUGGGGAGGAAAGGUGGCGCAAGCUGCCGCUCUUGGAGGGGCUCGCGGCCUAUCAGCUAGUUGGCGGGGUAACGGCCCACCAAGGCUAUGACGGGUAGCUGGUCUGAGAGGACGACCAGCCACACGGGGACUGAGACACGGCCCCGACUCCUACGGGAGGCAGCAGUGGGGAAUUUUCCGCAAUGGGCGAAAGCCUGACGGAGUGACGCCGCGUGUGGGACGAAGGCCUUCGGGUCGUAAACCACUGUCAGUGGGAAAGAAGGAUGUCGGUGCUAAUACCACCGGCAUUUGACGGUACCUGCAGAGGAAGCCCCGGCCAACUCUGUGCCAGCAGCCGCGGUAAGACAGAGGGGGCAAGCGUUGCUCGGAAUUACUGGGCGUAAAGGGCGCGUAGGCGGGAUGGCAAGUCGGUCGUGAAAUCCUUCGGCUCAACCGAAGAACGUCGAUCGAUACUGCUGUUCUUGAGGGUUGCAGAGGAGACUGGAAUUCCCGGUGUAGCGGUGAAAUGUGUAGAGAUCGGGAGGAACACCGGUGGCGAAGGCGGGUCUCUGGGCAAUUCCUGACGCUGAGGCGCGAAAGCGUGGGGAGCAAACGGGAUUAGAUACCCCGGUAGUCCACGCUGUAAACGAUGACGACUAGGUGUGGGGGGGGUUCAGUCCCUUCCGUGCCGCAGCUAACGCAUUAAGUCGUCCGCCUGGGGAGUACGGCCGCAAGGUUGAAACUCAA